CGGAAGACACACGUGAGGCAAACGGGGCAAAGACGACGUGAGUCAAGCGGGGAGCGAUCAAGGGACUUGACCCGUGGACGCUAGCCGUCUCAUCUUAUACAAACGACCGAAGAGGUGGGGUUUUAAGUCGGGGUUUUUAAUGAGCGUUUCAAUCCGGGCUCCCAAGUUUUCAAAUGAAGGCUUCAUGUCAGGGGUUUCAAUCAUGAGUGAAAGUUUCAAAGGAGGAUUUCAAGCGCGGCUUCCAGUUUCAAGUUCAAAUCGAGAGAGAGGAAGGUAGGACAAAGGCGGAAGGUCCAUCUGCGCUGCCACCUCGAGGUCACCCGCUGCCCCGCCUCCCUCCGUCCCCGUGGCGCUUUUGCAUAUUCAUGAGCUCUUCAUUUUUUAUUCCCCCCCCACGACUAUUUUUAUCUCGCUCCAGUGUGACUUUCAGGAGUGGACGGAUGAGGCGAGUUGGGACCUGUUGGGUAUGCUAAUUCCACGGCCGCCGCUUGCUUCCUUUCCAGCGUCCUCAGACAUUUUCUCGAGGCGGCCAAAUGACGUAAAUUCCUUUUUCCACACUGGAUGCAAAAAUCCGCUCACGGCAUCGACACGGAAUAGAAGCGCGGAGUCAAGUUUGCACCUUCAGACGUCGUGUCAGAGCUGGACAUAACUUGUGUGUGUAAAGUUCCUUUUACACUGCCGGCAAAAUUGAGAUUAUUUUUUUUUUUUUCUUUUUGCAGCUUUUUGGUUUCGGCUUUUCUUAGAGACACAACUGGCGCAGAACGAGAGGACUGAAUUUGACCCGACAAUUUUUCUGCUUGCCAAAUUCUGCCCCAUUUUCAAGUCACUUUCCAUAUAAAUGGCACAAACACACGAAAAAGGGAAGAUGAAGUCAACCAGGAACAGAAGCGCAACAAAGGCAAGACGCCAUCUGCGCCGAAAGACCAUUUUACACUUCCUGCAAAAUCCAGCUGCGAGGAGGAGAAAACACACAUGAGAGGAGAACUGCCAACUAACCCCCACCCCACCCCCACCCCGAGCCCUCCCACUCCCCAAGCCUGCCCGGAUGCGCUGAAAGAUUCCGCCACCGCUUCUCGCCUGCAGCUGUAAGAGUACACAAGCGGAACAUUGGGUAGAUUGGAUUGUAAAGCACAGAAAAAAAAAGUUUAAGUUUCUAUUUCGUGCAACGCGCUUCCUUUACGGAACGUUGCAUGUUAUUUCUUUUAUUUUUUUAUUUUUUUUUUACAUUUCCGAAUCCACUUUUGCCGCUGAAGCAAUGCAAAUUUCCCCAUUGUGGGACUUAUAAAGGUUAGCUUCGCCUAAAAAAAAAAAAUAAACGAGAGGUGAAAGUACACGAGCGUGGCAUCAAGUCUCCUCACGACUUGGGGGGGCUGAUGUCGUCGCAGCAUAUUCAUGGAAAUGUCUAAAAACCA